rnacentral:rRNA from 1 species
UACGUAGGGGGCGAGCGUUGUCCGGAUUUACUGGGCGUAAAGGGUGAGUAGGCGGUUAUAUAAGUCAGAUGUAAAAGGCUAUGGCUUAACUAUAGUAAGCAUUUGAAACUGUAUGACUUGAGUGCAGGAGAGGUAAGUGGAAUUCCUAGUGUAGCGGUGAAAUGCGUAGAUAUUAGGAGGAACACCAGUGGCGAAGGCGACUUACUGGACUGUAACUGACGCUGAGUCACGAAAGCGUGGGUAGCAAACAGG